rnacentral:lncRNA from 1 species
CCAGAGGAGGUGGAGACAGGAAGGCGGUCUUUCUUUCUUUCUCUUGCUUACAGUUCUGCACUGAAGAAUUAACUACAUUUUUCUUCUAAUGCAAUUUUCCUCCAUUGACAGAUCUUAACAGGAAGCCAACUGGCAAGGAAGCUUAGGAACUGUACUUUGGAGAAUUUCAUCUCCACCAUUUCAGAACAGUACACAGAAGGUUGGACUGGUUUCUGAAAGACAGUUCAGGUAUCAGUGUAAUAAUUGUGUCAUAAAAGGAUUUGAACAUUUCCUUCCUUUUUUCUGGAAUAAUUU